UACGUAGGGCGCAAGCGUUGUCCGGAAUUAUUGGGCGUAAAGAGCUCGUAGGCGGCUUGUCACGUCGGGUGUGAAAGCCCGGGGCUUAACCCCGGGUCUGCAUUCGAUACGGGCAGGCUAGAGUGUGGUAGGGGAGAUCGGAAUUCCUGGUGUAGCGGUGAAAUGCGUAGAUAUCGGAAGGAACACCAGUGGCGAAAGCGGCUUCCUGGUCCAGCAUCGACGUUCAGGCACGAAAGCGUGGGGAGCAAACAGG
rnacentral:rRNA from 1 species